rnacentral:rRNA from 1 species
GACGAACGCUGGCGGCGUGCCUAAUACAUGCAAGUUGAGCGCUGAAGGUUGGUACUUGUACCGACUGGAUGAGCAGCGAACGGGUGAGUAACGCGUGGGGAAUCUGCCUUUGAGCGGGGGACAACAUUUGGAAACGAAUGCUAAUACCGCAUAAAAACUUUAAACACAAGUUUUAAGUUUGAAAGAUGCAAUUGCAUCACUCAAAGAUGAUCCCGCGUUGUAUUAGCUAGUUGGUGAGGUAAAGGCUCACCAAGGCGAUGAUACAUAGCCGACCUGAGAGGGUGAUCGGCCACAUUGGGACUGAGACACGGCCCAAACUCCUACGGGAGGCAGCAGUAGGGAAUCUUCGGCAAUGGACGAAAGUCUGACCGAGCAACGCCGCGUGAGCGAAGAAGGUUGUCGGAUCGUAAAACUCUGUUGGUAGAGAAGAACGUUGGUGAGAGUGGAAAGCUCAUCAAGUGACGGUAACUACCCAGAAAGGGACGGCUAACUACGUG